AUUGAACGCUGGCGGCAGGCCUAACACAUGCAAGUCGAGCGAGCGGCGGACGGGUGAGUAAUGUAUGGGGACUGCCCUAUAGAGGGGGAUAACUACUGGAAACGGUGGCUAAUACCGCAUACUAUCGGAUAACCCAUAUGGGAUUAGCUAGUAGGUGGGGUAAAGGCUCACCUAGGCGAAGAUCUAUAGCUGGUCUGAGAGGAUGAUCGGCCACACUGGGACUGAGAAACGGCCGAGACUCCUACGGAGGCAGCAGUGGGGAAGUGUGCACAAUGGGCGCAAGCCUGAUGCAGCCAGGCCGCGGGUAUGAAGAAGGCCUUAGGGUGGUAAAGUACUUUCAGCGGGGAGGCGUUACCCGCAGAAGAAGCACCGGCUAACUCCGUGCCAGCAGCCGCGGUAAUUC
rnacentral:rRNA from 1 species